CAGGUUUUCUGCUUUCUCUUUUUGCCUAUGGAAUCAGUUCACAACUGCACAUUUCUUUUUGGUUCCUCUCUCGCCAGAAACAUUUCUGUAACGAUGUGACAAGAAUGCUACUGAAGAUCAUGAAAAGGUACGGUGGAUUCAAGAUGGCUGCACUUAGUCAUCGGAUAAUCUUUUGGUGCCACCCAGACGGCCAACCUGUGGCACUACGAAAUUUCCUUCACCAACUGGUCCAAGCGUACCAUUUACCAGCUCACACAGUGCUACCACAAGACUGUUGUCUCCUCCUUACAACCACCUGAUCCAAAUGUUACGCAUUCCAUCCAGCCUGGUGAUUGGGUCUACGUCAAACAUUUGAUGCAAGC